GGAGAGUAAAAGACAAGGAUUCUACAUAUACGUCUCCAUGGUUUCCCUAAUUUGUUUCAAUGACAAAGGCUACCAAGAUCCAUUGCGCCAAGAAGAAAAAUUAAGAGGAAGAUAGAAAAGAAGAACGAAAGGGAAGGCUUAAAGGGGAGAAAAAAAGCUUUAACGAGAACUUAGCUACAGGGGGAAGGGGAGAGGUGAUGGUGAUUAAAAAAUUAUUUUUUAUUGAAUAUUUAAUGCCAUGUUAGCAACAUUGGACAGUAUUAGGGAAAAAUCCUCAAUUUGCUUACAGCACCAAACCACAAGAUCUUACUUGAAAAGGUGUCAAACCACAAGGUACUUUUUGUAAUUUCCCCA
rnacentral:misc_RNA from 1 species